rnacentral:rRNA from 1 species
CACGGAGUUAGCCGAUGCUUUUUCUUCGGAUACACGCAGUCCGGGACACGUCCCGGGUUUUGUUCUCCGACAAAAGAGGUUUACAACCCAUAGGGCCGUCUUCCCUCACGCGGCUUGGCUGGUUCAGGAUCUCUCCCAUUGACCAAUAUUCCUCACUGCUGUCUCCCGUAGGAGUCUGGUCCGUGUCUCAGUACCAGUGUGGGGGACCUUCCUCUCAGAACCCCUACGCAUCGUCGCCACGGUGGGCCGUUACCCCCGCCGUCAAGCUAAUGCGCCGCAUGCCCAUCCUCUUCCGAUGAAUCUUUCCUCGAUCUCGGAUGCCCGAAACCGAUAUACGCGGGAUUAGCCUCCCUUUCGGAAGGUUGUCCCCCUGAAGAGGGCAGGUUGCAUACGUGUUACUCACCCGUGCGCCGGUCGCCGGCAAGGAAGCAAGCUUCCCUCCGAUGCCCCUCGACUUGCAUGUGUUAAGCCUGCCGCUAGCGUUCAUCCUGAGCCAGGAUCAAACUCU